UCUCAACUGCGACUAUCAAGUUGAGACAUUUUCCAUGUCUCUUUUCUUCCUGUUAAUCUUUGCUCUCUUCUCCGAAAAACCCAAUUCUUGGAAAAUAAACUUCAAAGGAUACACUUUUCUUCUCAUUCUCUUCUUCAGUGAUCUGUGAUCGAUUUCAGUUACAGGGUUGAUGUAAGAUUUGCAUAACUUGAUACCGAUGUUGGUUUUCAGAGGCUGAAGCUGCCAGCAUGAUCUGCUUCAUUCACUCAAACACCAACAAUGGCAAAACGUCAAACUUAAUUUUCAUGAGAAAAGCGACUCCCUCUUGGCUUUGACUUUUACGACUCCAAUAUCAUCAUCAUAACAUCAUUAGAGCGAUCGGCAUUGGGAUUAUCUGGGUUGAUCUGCAAUUGUAGCCUUUGUUCGAAUAUCCAUAAUAGGGAAGACGCAUGAUGGAUUGUAUAAAGAUUAAUUAUGAAGAUUAUACUUCCUCAUACUUUCAUCUGAAGGUUGUAUUUUAAUUCGUAGUUGGUUU